rnacentral:rRNA from 1 species
GAUGAACGCUGGCGGCGUGCCUAAUACAUGCAAGUCGAGCGACCGGACGAGAAGCUUGCGUCCCUGAUGUUAGCGGCGGACGGGUGAGUAACACGUGGGUAACCUACCUAUAAGACUGGGAUAACUUCGGGAAACCGGAGAUACUACCGGAUAAUAUUUUGAACCGCAUGGUUCAAAAGUGAAAGACGGUCUUGCUGUCACUUAUAGAUGGAUCCGCGCUGCAUUAGCUAGUUGGUAAGGUAACGGCUUACCAAGGCAACGAUGCAUAGCCGACCUGAGAGGGUGAUCGGCCACACUGGAACUGAGACACGGUCCAGACUCCUACGGGAGGCAGCAGUAGGGAAUCUUCCGCAAUGGGCGAAAGCCUGACGGAGCAACGCCGCGUGAGUGAUGAAGGUCUUCGGAUCGUAAAACUCUGUUAUUAGGGAAGAACAUAUGUGUAAGUAACUGCGCACAUCUUGACGGUACCUAAUCAGAAAGCCACGGCUAACUACGUG